rnacentral:rRNA from 1 species
GAUGAACGCUGGCGGCGUGCCUAAUACAUGCAAGUCGAGCGAACAGAUGAGGAGCUUGCUCCUCUGACGUUAGCGGCGGACGGGUGAGUAACACGUGGAUAACCUACCUAUAAGACUGGGAUAACUUCGGGAAACCGGAGCUAAUACCGGAUAAUAUAUUGAACCGCAUGGUUCAAUAGUGAAAGACGGUUUUGCUGUCACUUAUAGAUGGAUCCGCGCCGCAUUAGCUAGUUGGUAAGGUAACGGCUUACCAAGGCAACGAUGCGUAGCCGACCUGGGAGGGUGAUCGGCCACACUGGAAGUGAGACACGGUCCAGACUCCUACGGGAGGCAGCAGUAGGGUAUGUUCCGCAAUGGGGGAAAGCCUUACGGAGCAACGCCGCGUGAGUGAUGAAGGUCUUCGGAUCGUAAAACUCUGUUAUUAGGGAAGAACAAAUGUGUAAGUAACUAUGCACGUCUUGACGGUACCUAAUCAGAAAGCCACGGCUAACUACGUG